ACGCUUAACCGACUAAGCCACCCAGGCGCCCCAAGAUCUCCGGUUAUCUGCCACAGAAAAAGCCCAAUAUGUUGAGACCACAGUGCUGUGAGGAAACCGAGCUAGCAGUGGGGAGAGGCCGCUUGUAGAGAAUGAUGUUCAGUCAGGUCCCAGCUCUUCAGCCUUCCCAGCCAAGACGUCAAAUGUGACUAAAGAAGCCACCUCCUCUUGGGCAUUCUUAUCCCAGUGGACACUAUACGGAGCAGAAAAACUACCCAGAGGAAACCAGUGCAGAUUGCAAAAUGAGAAUAAGUGGUUAUGAGAGUUCAAAUCAGAUGUACCAAAGGAGUCCACUGAUCAAGAGCAGAAUUGCAGCUGAACCACUGUCAUGGCAGACCUUGGCUGGGGCAAUGGACACCUCUUCCUGGUUGAAGACUGACCUCUAGAACUGCUAUAGAGCAGAGGUGGCCUGUAGGCCAGCUGGUGCAGACAUUACACCUUUUUUAAAAUUCUGCCCAUAUACACAGGAUAUCCAGAACAAUGUUUUAUUAUUAAAUUAGUUAUUAAAACUGAAAUAUCCAAAGUUUUCAAAUAGAAAACUUUCCAACAUUUAGACAUUUUUUGAGUAUUUCAGUCAUACUUAUCUAUGGCACUAGUAGAUGAAAGUAAGUAGUAACUACUUGCAUUAGUUAGAGUGUAUGCAGUACACACCAGUUUAUAACAGUUUCCACUGCUCACUAUGGUGAUCUCUCAACACUUGAGGCCAGGGGCAGUUGCCAUAUAUCAUCCUACAGAGGUCCUGCUGCACAAAUUCACAUUACCUCCCAAUCCUAGAGGCAUUGGACAUUGCGAUCUCCUGUUGAG